rnacentral:sRNA from 1 species
GCCAGGCAUGGUGAUGCGUGCCUGUAGUCCCAGCUACUCAGGAGGCUGAGGUAGGAGGAUGGCUUGAACCCAGGAGGUAGAGGUUGUAGUGGGCUGAAAUCAUGCCACUGCACUCCAGCCUGGGCAACAGAGCCAGACCCUGUCUCAA